CGCAAGCCUGACGGAGCAAUACCGCGUGAGGGAGGAAGGCUUUUGGGUUGUAAACCUCUUUUCUCAAGGAAGAAGCCAGUGACGGUACUUGAGGAAUCAGCAUCGGCUAACUCCGUGCCAGCAGCCGCGGUAAUACGGAGGAUGCAAGCGUUAUCCGGAAUCAUUGGGCGUAAAGCGUCCGCAGGUGGCCUGUCAAGUCUGCUGUCAAAGACAGAAGCUCAACUUCUGAAAGGCAGUGGAAACUGGGAGGCUAGAGUACGGUAGGGGUUGAGGGAAUUCCCAGUGUAGCGGUGAAAUGCGUAGAUAUUGGGAAGAACACCAGUGGCGAAGGCGCUCAACUGGGCCGUAACUGACACUCAGGGACGAAAGCUAGGGUAGCG
rnacentral:rRNA from 1 species